AACGAACGCUGGCGGCAUGCCUAACACAUGCAAGUCGAACGGGAUCCUGGUUUCGGCCAGGUGAGAGUGGCGGACGGGUGAGUAACACGUGGGAAUCUGCCCUUUGGUCUGGGAUAACCGCGGGAAACUGCGGCUAAUACCGGAUGCCCUCGCGAGAGGAAAGAUUUAUCGCCAGAGGAGGAGCCCGCGUCCGAUUAGGUAGUUGGUGGGGUAAAGGCCUACCAAGCCGACGAUCGGUAGCUGGUCUGAGGAGGAUGAUCAGCCACACUGGGACUGAGAUACGGCCCAGACUCCUACGGGAGGCAGCAGUGGGAAAUAUUGGACAAUGGGGGUCAACCCUGAUCCAGCAAUGCCGCGUGAGUGAUGAAGGCCUUAGGGUUGUAAGCUCUUUUGCCAGGGAAGAGAUGACGGUACCUGGAGAAUAAGCCUUGGCUAACUUCGUGCCAGCAGCCGNGGUAAUACGAAGGGGGGUCUAGCGUUGUUCGGAAUUACUGGGCGUAAAGGGCGCGUAGGC
rnacentral:rRNA from 1 species